rnacentral:precursor_RNA from 16 species
CGAAGGGAAGACCAUUAUUGUGCGCUACAGAGGCAGUGAUGUCAGUUUGUUGUGUGACACGAGACGACAACAACUAACAUCACUGCCAAGGAAACGCACGAAAAGGCUACGAAGCAUGAC